rnacentral:piRNA from 1 species
UCAGACACAUGAAAAUGAAGCAGUUCCAA